AACGCACAUGGCGCCUUCCAGUAUCCUGGGAGGCAUGCCUGUCCGAGCGUCGUUUCAACCCUCGAGCCCCCCGUGGCCCGGCGUUGGGGACCUGCCACGGCAGCCCCCUAAAACCAGUGGCGGACCCGAAGGGCCCUCUCCUUUGCGCAGUAGCAUCAGCCUCGCAUCGGGAGCCCCCGGCGUCCUCGCCUCUAAACCCCCCCCAAAGCCCGCCCAGCGGCACCAAGGUUGACCUCGGAUCAGGUAGGAAUACCCGCUGAACUUAA
rnacentral:misc_RNA from 1 species